rnacentral:rRNA from 1 species
GAUAGUCAUUAUGCUUGUCUCAAAGAUUAAGCCAUGCAUGUGGAAGUAUGAAAUAAUUCAGACUGUGAAACUGCGAAUGGCUCAUUAAAUCAGUUAUAGUUUGUUUGAUGGUAAUCUGCUACGCGGAUAACCGUAGUAAUUCUAGAGCUAAUAGUGCAACAAACCCCCGACUUCUGGAAGGAUGCAUUUUAGAUAAAGGUCGACGCGGGCAUCUGCCGAUUGCUCUAUUGAUUCAUGAUAAAUCGUACGGAUCGCACGGCCAUCGUGCCGGCGACGAAUCAUUCAAAUUUCUGCCUAUCACUUUCGGAUGGUAGAUAGAGGCCUUACCAUUGGUGGUGGACGGGUGACGGAGAAUUAGGGUUCGAUUCCGGAGAGGGAGCCUGAGAAACGCUACCAAUCCAAGAGAAGAGCAGGCGCGCAAAUUAACCCAUCCUGACACGGGGAGGUAGUGACAAUACAAUAACAAUACCGGGGCUUUCGAGCAUCUGUAAUUGGAAUGACUACAUCAAAAUCCUAUAACGAGGAUCCAUUGGAGGGCAAGUUGGUGCCCAGCAGCCGCGGUAAUUUCCAGCUUCCAAUAGCGUAUUAUUUUAAGAUUUGUUGCAGUUUAAAAAGCUCGUAGUUGGACCUUGGGUUGCGGUCGACCGCGUUCCGCCUCGCGGUGUGCACCUGUCGGCUCGUCCCUUCUCCGGCGAUGCGCUCCUGGCCUUAACUGGCCGGGUGUAGCCUCCAGCGCUGUUACUUUGAAGAAAUAUAGAGUGCUCAAAGCAAGCCUACGCUCGGAUACAUGCAUGGGAUAACAUCAUAGGUUUCGGGGGUCCCUUAUUGGUGCUUGGCCUUCGGGAUCGGAGUAAUGAUUAACAGGGACAGUCGGGAUUCGUUAGUUCAUAGUCAGAUUGGUGAAAUUCUUGAUUUAUGAAAAGAACGAACAACUGCGAAAGCAUUUGCCAGAGGAUGUGUUUCAUGGUAAUCAAGAACGAAAGUUGGGGGCCUCGAAGACGAUCAGAUACCGUCCUAGUCUCAACCAUAAACGAUGCGACCACGGGAUCGGCGGAUGUUGCUUAGGACUUCGCGGACCUUAUGAAAAUCAAAGUCUUUGGGUUCCGGGGGAGUGAUGGUCGCAGGCUGAAACUUAAGGAAUUGACGGAAGGGCCACCACCAGGAGUGGAAGCCUGCCGGCUUUAAUUUGACUCAACCGGGGGGAACUUACCAGGUCCAGACAUAGUAAGGAUUGAAGACUGAGAGCUCUUUCUUGAUUCUAUUGGGGUGGUGGCUGCAUGGCCGUUUCCUUCAGUUGGGGAGCGAUUUGUCUGGUUAUUCGUACGAACGAGACCUCAAGAAACCUGCUAACUAGCAUAUAGCGGAGCGUUGAACCUCCGACGGCAGCUUCUUAGAGGGAUAUGGCAUUAAUUAGGCCAAGGAAGUUUGAGGCAAUAACAGAGAUUGAUGAUGCCCAUUAUAAAGAUCGUUCUGGGCCCGCACUGCGCAAAGAACUACACUGAUGUAUUUCAACGAGGUCUAUAGCCUUGGCCGACAGGCCCCCGGGUAAUCUUUGAAAUUUCAUCGUGCAUGGGGAUAGAUUUAUUGCAUUGUGGUCUUCAACGAGGAAUUCCUAGUAAGCUGCGAGUCAUCAGCUCGCGUUGACUACGUCCCUGCCCUUUACACACACGCCCGGUCGCCUCCUACCGACUUGAAUGGUCGGUGAAUGUGUUUCGGGAUCGCGGCGGGACGUGGGGGUUCGCCGCCGGCGACGUCGCGAGAAGUUCCACUGAACCUUAUCAAUUUAGAGGAAGGAGAAGUCUCGUUAACAAGGUUUCCGUAGGUGAACCUGCGGAAA